rnacentral:lncRNA from 1 species
UGUUCCGGAGUAUGGUGGAGUAUUAGUUCCUGAAGAAGAUGCUGAGCAGGCGAAGUGUCAUAGCUAUCAAUCUUUCCCUAACAGAGUUCUUGUGGAUGACAAUGAGCAAGAAGAAGACCAGGGGUUGACUGGCCUUAUGAGAUCAACCUCCAUGAUUCUGGAGAGAGGUGAGAAACGAGAUGCGGAAGAAAAUGAUUUGAGGGAGGAAGCUAAUAGACAGAGUAGCUAUCAAUCUUUCCCUAAUAGAAUUCUUGUGGAUGACAAUGAGCAAGAAGAAGACCAGGGGUUGACUGGCCUUAUAAGGUCAACCUCCAUGAUUCAGGAGAGAGGUGAGAAACGGGCUGCGGAAGAAAAUGAUUUGAGGGAGGUAGCUAAGAGACAGAGAGAAUGGCUUCCCUCGGUGGCUUCCAAGUCUGACGAGUGCUUUAGUAUCCCUUCUGUGAAUGAGAAAGAAGAGA